rnacentral:misc_RNA from 1 species
GUGGGAGCAAGGCUUGCCCGCGAUACAGACACCUCGGUGUAUCUGGUAGACCGAGGUGAUGCAAUCGCGGGCAAGCCUUGCUCCCAC